GAUGAACGCUAGCGGCAGGCCUAACACAUGCAAGUCGAGGGGUAGAACACUUCGGUGUUUGAGACCGGCGCACGGGUGCGUAACGCGUAUGCAAUCUACCUUGUACAGGGGAAUAGCCCAGAGAAAUUUGGAUUAAUGCCCCAUAGUAUAUAACCUUCGCAUGUUGGUUAUAUUCAAGUUCCAACGGUACAAGAUGAGCAUGCGUCCCAUUAGUUAGUUGGUAAGGUAACGGCUUACCAAGACGAUGAUGGGUAGGGGUCCUGAGAGGGAGAUACCCCACACUGGUAUUGAGACACGGAGCAGACUCCUACGGGAGGCUGCAGUGAGGAAUAUUGGUCAAUGGGCGCAAGCCUGAACCAGCCAUGCCGCGUUCAGGAAGACGGUCCUAUGGAUUGUAAACUGCUUUUAUACGGGAAGAAACACUCCCUCGUGAGGGAGCUUGACGGUACCGUAAGAAUAAGGAUCGGCUAACUCCGUGCCAGCCGCCGCGGUAAAAC
rnacentral:rRNA from 1 species